rnacentral:rRNA from 1 species
GACGAACGCUGGCGGCGUGCUUAACACAUGCAAGUCGAACGAUGAAGCCGGAGCUUGCUCUGGUGAAUUAGUGGCGAACGGGUGAGUAACACGUGAGUAACCUGCCCUUGACUCUGGGAUAACUGCUAGAAAUGGUAGCUAAUACCGGAUACGACCCUCGGAGGCAUCUCCAGGGGGUGGAAAGAAUUUCGGUCAAGGAUGGACUCGCGGCCUAUCAGCUAGUUGGUGAGGUAACGGCUCACCAAGGCGACGACGGGUAGCCGGUCUGAGAGGACGACCAGCCACACUGGGACUGAGACACGGCCCAGACUCCUACGGGAGGCAGCAGUGGGGAAUUUUGGACAAUGGGGGCAACCCUGAUCCAGCCAUGCCGCGUGCGGGAAGAAGGCCUUCGGGUUGUAAACCGCUUUUGUCAGGGAAGAAAUUGUCCGGGCUAAUACCUCGGGCCGAUGACGGUACCUGAAGAAUAAGCACCGGCUAAC